AUGAUCCAUCAGGCAGCGGCGUUCAUCGCUCGCCACUUCGUCCGUCUGCAACCGAGCCCGACGGCCGCCGCCCACGACGCACCGCUGGUGCGGCUCUCAUGCUUCCACGGCGACGCCAAGUGGACGGAAUUCGUCCGGGGCAGGUGGGCGGCGGACCCGUGCGCCUACGUCGACGCGGUCGGCCGGCUCCCCGUCGACGAGAUGCCGGACCUCUUCGACUGCCUCUACCGCGGCGGGCACUGCGUCGGCCUCCUCGACCCCGCCUCCAACGUCAUCCUCAACGGCCUCACCCUCCUCUGCCGCCGCCGCAGCGGCGCCUGCUCGUCGCCGGAGGAGAGCUGCCUCCCGCUCCCGCCGGAUCCUCGGCACGUGGGCAACUGGGGGUCCAUCGCCUUCAGAUCUUACAAUGGCCUCCUCGCCUUCAUGCACACGUACUUCCGGUACCUCACCGACGACCAAGCUCGGUUCUACCUCCACCUCUCCGGCGGGGACGUCCUCGUCGCCAUCCGGAUCGCCGAGCUCGAGCAGUUCGCGGCCGUUGAAGGGGCCGUUGAUCAGGCCGUCGUCGGCCGCCACCCAGACCUCCUCCGCGAACGGGCCCAGUUCGCUCUCGCCGUUGCUGGCAUCAAAGCAAAGCAUCCCAUGCCCGACGACCUCCUGCUGCUCUUCCAGCCGGCGCUCCAGGAAUCGGCGGACGACAUGAAGGCCGUCCUCGCCACCUUGGCCGAAGGGCGGCGCCUCGCCGUCCGUGACGUCGAAGCCAUCCUCGCCGUUCUAAAAUCGCAGCUGCGUCAUCGCACGGUCUGCCCCGGUCUGCAACUCACCUUCACACAACGAGGACGCGGCGAGACCUUGCAUUACCGCCUCAACGGCCAACAUGGAGGAGGCCUGCACUUCCAGCAGUGCGCGCCAUUCAGCCUCGCCGGCCUACGCUCCCCCGAGGCCGUGCGGCGCAAGCUCGAAUCCUGCCUCUCGCUCGUCCCCGAGCACACUCCGCACACGCCGGCGGAGGUCGCCGACGCGCCCCCGACAUGCGGGCACGUCGAGUACCUCAAGAUGGGGCUCCUGGACGUCAUCCACGCCUUGUACGUCGAGGCGCUCGCCAGACUGCCGCGCGCCGCGCUCCGGCGUCUCCUCCGCGGCGUCCUGGUCGCCGGGCACUGCUACGGCCCCAUGGACCCCGUGUCCAACAUCAUCAUCCAUGCCGCUUGGUACAGCGUCAUCGCGCCCCCGUCGCGCCCCACCAGCGAGCCGGACGUGCUCGGCGUAGACGCCCUGCUUCGCCUCGAGGUCCGCUCCCUCGCCGGCCUCGUCGCCGCCGUUCGUGCCGCCACGGGCUUCUCGGAGCACCAGGCCGUGGAGCACCUCAGCACCAACCGCUGCGACAUAUCUUCCAUGCUUCGGAGGGCGGCGCCGGAGACACGCGGCCCAGCCUUCCGUCGUGCCAGCGAGGCCGCCAGGCACCCCCUGGGAGAGCACCACUCGUCGUUCCUCGCUUCCCUGGCCUCCUCAGGGCCGAAAUUUCUGGACACCGUGAGCUCAUUGCUGCGCUCCGGAGAAGUCAAAGCGCCGCGCCACUUGAUCUCUGAUGCCAGCAUCACAGAGCUGCAGAAAAUGCUAGGACGCCGGUGCUCGCCCAUCACCCCACUCCCAGCACCAAGUCGCUUGGAUAGUAGUCUUCCAGCAAGGAGGCAAUGGCUGGAGAAGAGGCAGAGGUUUCUACGGACAGAGCUUGAGCAACUCCUCCGCGGCUACGCCGAUCAGCGCCCAUGGGAACCAACAUUUGAGCUGGAAACCAUCUGCGGCGUGGCGAAGGAGAGCGCCUAUCUGUCCUCCCAUUGCUACCACAUCAACUUCCUCGCCGCAGCUGAGUGUCUAGGAAUCAGUCGAUUGAGCCCAAAUGAGUCUCAGUUGAGGAUUUGGGCCACAUUCCAGUGA
rnacentral:rRNA from 1 species